UGUCCCAAGAUUUUCUUUGUAAAAUUACAUAUAGUUGAACAUCUAUUGUUUGUGUUGGAUUGUCUCAUGUAAGAUUCAAGUGUCCAGAUAUUUUUGGACACCCUCUGUCUUGUUAUAUAUGCAGUGUUUGAACAUCUUGCUAUUGUUUUCAAAUAUAACUUCUAUUGCUUCAGUUCCUUGCGUGUGAUGUAUCAACCCAUCAUAUCCAUCCUUUGUCAAUGUUAUUCAAUUUCGAAAUAGAACCGUGGC
rnacentral:lncRNA from 1 species